UGGGGGAUAUUGCACAAUGGGCGAAAGCCUGAUGCAGCGACGCCGCGUGGGGGAUGAAGGCUUUCGGGUUGUAAACCUCUUUCGCUAUCGAACAAGGCCCGCUUAGGGUGGGUUGAGGGUAGGUGGAGAAGAAGCGCCGGCUAACUACGUGCCAGCAGCCGCGGUAAUACGUAGGGCGCGAGCGUUGUCCGGAAUUAUUGGGCGUAAAGGGCUUGUAGGCGGCUUGUUGCGCCUGCUGUGAAAACGCGGGGCUUAACUUCGCGCGUGCAGUGGGUACGGGCAGGCUUGAGUGUGGUAGGGGUGACUGGAAUUCCAGGCGUAGCGGUGGAAUGCGCAGAUAUCUGGAGGAACACCGAUGGCGAAGGCAGGUCACUGGGCCAUUACUGACGCUGAGGAGCGAAAGCAUGGGUAGCGAACAGG
rnacentral:rRNA from 1 species